AGCAGCCGCGGUAAUUCCAGCUCCAAUAGCGUAUAUUAAAGUUGUUGCAGUUAAAAAGCUCGUAGUUGAAUUUCGGGAUCAGUACGCUGGUCGUGCCUUCGGUAUGAACUGGUGUCACUGAUUCCUCCCUUCUGAAGAACCGUCAUGCCAUUCAGUUGGUGUGGCGGGGAAUCAGGACUGUUACUUUGAAAAAUUAGAGUGUUUAAAGCAGGCUCGCGCUUGAAUACAUUAGCAUGGAAUAAUGAAAUAGGACGUUUGACUCUAUUUUGUUGGUUUCUAGGAUCGACGUAAUGAUUAAUAGGGAUAGUUGGGGGCAUUAGUAUUCAAUUGUCAGAGGUGAAAUUCUUGGAUUUAUUGAAGACUAACUACUGCGAAAGCAUUUGCCAAGGAUGUUUUUCAUUAAUCAAGAACGAAAGUUAGGGGAUCGAAGACGAUCAGAUACCGUCGUAGUCUUAACCAAUAAACUAU
rnacentral:rRNA from 1 species